rnacentral:rRNA from 1 species
GUUGUAUAGUCAAGUAAUUAAGUGCAUGUGGUGGAUGCCUUGGCAGUCAGAGGCGAUGAAAGACGUGAUAGCCUGCGAAAAGCUCCGGGGAGGCGGCAAAUAUCCUUUGAUCCGGAGAUGUCUGAAUGGGGGAACCCACCUACUUUAAGGUAGGUAUUGCAACAUGAAUACAUAGUGUUGCAAGGCGAACGAGGGGAAGUGAAACAUCUCAGUACCCUUAGGAAAAGAAAUCAAUUGAGAUUCCCUCAGUAGCGGCGAGCGAACGGGGAUCAGCCCAUUAAGUUAUGUGUGUUUUAGUGGAACGCUCUGGGAAGUGCGAACGUAGAGGGUGAUAUUCCCGUACACGAAAGGGCACACAUAAUGAUGACGAGUAGGGCGAGGCACGUGAAACCUUGUCUGAAUAUGGGGGGACCAUCCUCCAAGGCUAAAUACUCCUGACUGACCGAUAGUGAACCAGUACCGUGAGGGAAAGGCGAAAAGAACCCCUGUGAGGGGAGUGAAAUAGAUCCUGAAACCGCAUGCAUACAAGCAGUGGGAGCACCUUCGUGGUGUGACUGCGUACCUUUUGUAUAAUGGGUCAGCGACUUAUAUUCAGUAGCAAGGUUAACCGUAUAGGGGAGCCGUAGAGAAAUCGAGUCUUAAUAGGGCGUUUAGUUGCUGGGUAUAGACCCGAAACCAGGCGAUCUAUCCAUGAGCAGGUUGAAGGUUGGGUAACACUAACUGGAGGACCGAACCCACUGUCGUUGAAAAGCCAGGGGAUGACUUGUGGAUAGGGGUGAAAGGCUAAUCAAGCCUGGUGAUAGCUGGUUCUCCCCGAAAGCUAUUUAGGUAGCGCCUCGGACGAAUACCAUAGGGGGUAGAGCACUGUUUCGGCUAGGGGGUCAUCCCGACUUACCAAACCGAUGCAAACUCCGAAUACCUAUGAGUACUAUCCGGGAGACAGACUGCGGGUGCUAACGUCCGUAGUCAAGAGGAAAACAAUCCAGACCGCCAGCUAAGGCCCCAAAAUCAUAGUUAAGUGGGAAACGAUGUGGGAAGGCAUAGACAGCUAGGAGGUUGGCUUAGAAGCAGCCACCCUUUAAAGAAAGCGUAAUAGCUCACUAGUCGAGUCGGCCUGCGCGGAAGAUGUAACGGGGCUAAAACUAUGUGCCGAAGCUGCGGAUNNNNNNNUGCUGGAGGUAUCAGAAGUGCGAAUGCUGACGUGAGUAACGACAAAACGGGUGAAAAACCCGUUCGCCGAAAGACCAAGGGUUCCAGUCCAACGUUAAUCGGGGCUGGGUGAGUCGACCCCUAAGGCGAGGCCGAAAGGCGUAGUCGAUGGGAAAAUGGUUAAUAUUCCAUUACUUCUGUGUAAUGCGAUGAGAGGACGGAGAAGGCUAAAUCAGCCUGGCGUUGGUUGUCCAGGUGAAAGGAUGUAGGCAUGUAUCUUAGGCAAAUCCGGGGUACUCUAUGCUGAGAUCUGAUAGCAAGCUGUACUUGUACAGCGAAGUGGUUGAUGCCAUGCUUCCAGGAAAAGUCUCUAAGCUUCAGUUACACAGGAAUCGUACCCGAAACCGACACAGGUGGUCAGGUCGAGUAGACCAAGGCGCUUGAGAGAACUCUGCUGAAGGAACUAGGCAAAAUGGUACCGUAACUUCGGGAGAAGGUACGCUGUUGUUGGUGAUGGAACUCGCUUCCUGAGCUGACGACAGCCGCAGAAACCAGGCCGCUGCAACUGUUUAUUAAAAACAUAGCACUCUGCAAACACGAAAGUGGACGUAUAGGGUGUGAUGCCUGCCCGGUGCUGGAAGGUUAAUUGAUGGGGUUAGCGUAAGCGAAGCUCUUGAUCGAAGCCCCAGUAAACGGCGGCCGUAACUAUAACGGUCCUAAGGUAGCGAAAUUCCUUGUCGGGUAAGUUCCGACCUGCACGAAUGGCAUAAUGAUGGCGGCGCUGUCUCCAGCAGAGGCUCAGUGAAAUCGAAAUCGCUGUGAAGAUGCAGUGUACCCGCGGCUAGACGGAAAGACCCCGUGAACCUUUACUGCAGCUUGACACUGAACUUUGACCUUACUUGUGUAGGAUAGGUGGGAGGCUUUGAAGCUGGAACGCUAGUUCCAGUGGAGCCGUCCUUGAAAUACCACCCUGGUAAUGUUGAGGUUCUAACUCUGUCCCGUGAUCCGGGACGAGGACCGUGUCUGGUGGGUAGUUUGACUGGGGCGGUCUCCUCCUAAAGAGUAACGGAGGAGUACGAAGGUGCGCUCAGCGUGGUCGGAAAUCACGCGUAGAGUAUAAAGGCAAAAGCGCGCUUAACUGCGAGACCCACAAGUCGAGCAGGUACGAAAGUAGGUCUUAGUGAUCCGGUGGUUCUGUAUGGAAGGGCCAUCGCUCAACGGAUAAAAGGUACUCUGGGGAUAACAGGCUGAUACCGCCCAAGAGUUCAUAUCGACGGCGGUGUUUGGCACCUCGAUGUCGGCUCAUCUCAUCCUGGGGCUGAAGCAGGUCCCAAGGGUAUGGCUGUUCGCCAUUUAAAGAGGUACGCGAGCUGGGUUUAGAACGUCGUGAGACAGUUCGGUCCCUAUCUACCGUGGGCGCUGGAAAUUUGAGAGGAUCUGCUCCUAGUACGAGAGGACCAGAGUGGACGAACCUCUGGUGUACCGGUUGUGACGCCAGUCGCAUCGCCGGGUAGCUAUGUUCGGAAGGGAUAACCGCUGAAAGCAUCUAAGCGGGAAGCCUACCUCAAGAUAAGAUUUCCCUAGGACUUUAUGUCCUCUAAAGAGCCGUUCGAGACUAGGACGUUGAUAGGUUGGAUGUGGAAGCAUAGUGAUAUGUGAAGCUGACCAAUACUAAUUGCUCGUGAGGCUUGACUAUACAACACCCAAGCAGUUG